AUGAACGCUAGCGGCAGGCUUAAUACAUGCAAGGUCGAGGGGGCAGCAUGGUGUAGCAAUACACUGAUGGCGACCGGGCAAACGGGUGCGGAACACGUACAGAACCUCCUUUGAGUGGGAGAUAGCCCAUGGAUAACGUGGAUUAAUAUCCAUAGUAUAAUGGAGUGGCAUCACUUUAUAUAUAAAGAUUUAUUGCUCAAAGAUGGCUGUGCGUAUGAUAGGUAGUUGGCGGGGUAACGGGCCCACCAAGCCUUCGAUCAUUAACUGGUGUGAGAGCACGGCCAGUCACACGGGCACUGAGACACGGGCCCGACUCCUACGGGAGGCAGGCAAGUAAGGAAUAUUGGUCAAUGGACGCAAAGUCUGAACCAGCCAUGCCGCGUGAAGGAUGAAGGUCCUCUGGAUUGUAAACUUCUUUAUAGGGGGCGAAAAAAAGCCCAUUCUUGGGAACUUGACGGUACCCUAUGAAUAAGCACCGGCUAACUCCGUGCCAGCAGCCGCGGUAAUACGGAGGGUGCAAGCGUUAUCCGGAUUCACUGGGUUUAAAGGGAGCGUAGGCGGGCAUGUAAGUCAGUGGUGAAAUCUCCGGGCUUAACUCGGAAACUGCCAUUGAUACUAUAUGUCUUGAAUUAUCUGGGAGGGUUAGCGGAAUAUGUCAUGUAGCGGUGAAAUGCUUAGAUAUGACAUAGAACACCCAUUGCGAAGGCAGCUAACUACGGGUAUAUUGACGCUGAGGCUCGAAAGCGUGGGGAUCAAACAGGAUUAGAUACCCUGGUAGUCCACGCCCUAAACGAUGGAUACUCGACAUACGCGAUACACAGUGUGUGUCUGAGCGAAAGCAUUUAAGUAUCCCACCUGGGAAGUACGUCCGCAAGGAUGAAACUCAAAGGAAUCGGCGUGGGGUCCGCACAAGCGGUGGAGCAUGUGGUUAAUUCGAUGAUACGCGGGAACCUUACCCGGGCUAGAAUGCAUUUUGACCGUGGGUGAAAGCUCAUUUUGUAGCAAUACACAGAAUGUAAGGUGCUGCAUGGCUGCCGUCAACUCGUGCCGUGAGGUGUUGGGUUAAGUCCCGCAACGAGCGCAACCCCUAUCUUUAGUUGCCAACAGGUUAAGCUGGAACUCUAAAGAAACUGCCGUCGUAAGACGUGAGGAAGGAGGGGAUGAUGUCAAGUCAUCAUGGCCUUAUGCCCGGGGCUACACACGUGCUACAAUGGGGAGGACAAAGGGCUGCCACUUAGCGAUAAGGCGCCAAUCCCAAAACCUCUUCUCAGUUCAGAUCGGAGUCUGCAACUCGGCUCCGUGAAGCUGGAAUCGCUAGUAAUCGUAUAUCAGCAAUGAUACGGUGAAUACGUUCCCGGACUUGCACACACCGCCCCGUCAAGCCAUGGGAGCCGGGUGUACCUAAAGUCGGUAACCGAAAGGAGCUGCCUAGGGUUAAAACUGGUGACUGGGGCU
rnacentral:rRNA from 1 species